rnacentral:lncRNA from 1 species
ACCUGGAAUUUACACACAUCACUUGGGAUUUGUGCGUAUUGACAACCAAAGAUUUCCUCAUGGCAUAGUCUUUCAAGUUGUUCAGAAGUUUUUGUAAACUUGGUUGCCUGUUUGCUGUAAAAGCCAGAUCAUCAGCAAAAAGUAAAUGUGUCACAGUUAAAUUUGGGAUGGCUGUCAGAGCACCUUGUACAACCUCUGCAACAGUAUCAAUAUCGUUGAGAUAAAUUGCGAAAAGAAGAGGUGAUAGAGGACAUCCUUGUUUAACCCCACACACUGGCUGAACACUAGCCAUUUUGUCACCAUCAAGCAGAGUAUAUUCAUCCAUGUGAUACAGAUCCUGGAGAAUAGCAAUGAGUUGUUGAGGUAGUCGACAACGAUAAAGAUGUUUCCGCAGCUUUUCCCGAGGAACAGAGGCAUAAGCUUGCUGAAAGUCAAUAAAUGCUGUAAACAACCUGGAGGUAUUACUCCGAGUCUUUUGUGAGGCGUUUUUCAGGUGUCGUAGGAUGAAGAUUGCAACCAAUCGGUUGAAGAGUACCUCUUCCUGGAUAAAAUCCAAAUUGGGUAUCAGGGAUUUUCCUGUGGUGGAUACACCAAUCUUGAAUAAUGGAUCUCAGGACAUUGGUGUACAGCCGAUAGAUAGGAGCGCUCACAGCUAUCAUCCAAUAAUUAGUUGGAGAAACAACGGGGCCCUUUUUAUGGAUUGGGGCGAGUUUAGCUUCCUUCCAAGACCUACAGAUCCCAGAACAUGCUAAUAAUAGAACCCUCCCUAAGUAUAUUUUCCCACUCCGCUUUCCUGAUAAGGAUAGGCUCACUUCCAGCCGGCCUGAUGCUCUAUUACUUGUUCCUCUGAAAAGAACGCCUAGGUCAAAUCCCCAAUUUCAAUUGAGAAGUGCAGGGGGGCGCGGGGGAACAGGGAGGACUCAGCAGCAGCCACANCAGGAAAGGAAAAGGCCUUCAGUCAAAACGCACGACUGCUAGCCUGUUCAUAAAAAGUAACAAUUUCAUGGAUAAAAUAUACAAGUUUAUUAUUACCUUGAAGAAGAAAAUUACGAACAUCUUGCCUCCUGGUUAUUGAAUAGAAAGGCAUACUUAGCACGCAAUGCAACGACAUGGGGGUGAGUACAGUGAAAAAUAACAUGUUUUUCAUCUCGAAUACAAUCUACAUCCUGACACAAAUCACAAUGAGAGGAAGAACCCUGAUUCCAAGUAGAUGUUUCAUACCAAAGAGUAUGGACACGAAGCCUAAAGCGGGCAACAUUGCGAAGAACAUCGUUGGGGAGGGCAAGGUAGAAAUAUUUAGGAGUUUGAAAAGGGGCCUGGGUGGCUACAAUGUUGCGGAUAGGCAGCGCACACCAAUGAUGAUAGGUACGGUGUUUGCUAUUCCGUUGCCUAGGAGUGGGGCCGGAGAAUUGAGUCCAAAAAUGAAGCUGUCUGGAUCUGAGGUCAACCACAAAUUGUCGAAGGUAGAUUGGUUCACAAUUCAUUAUGUUAAGCUUGAAUUGACUAGCAUGAUGCAAUCCAUCCAUGGCAAUAAUUAUGUGUGAAGACCAGCAGUCACCAGAGGAAGAAGAUAAACAGAUAUCCGCUUGUAAGACCUUUCUGACCGUGAUGCUAUUGCAUUGUGUAAACGAGUUAUACAGACGAAUAGCUGCUCGGAACCAAUUGAGUUGCAACGGUUCUAGCCCACACUCUCGCAGCACAGACCAAGAAGGAGUUGUGUCUCUGACACCCAGCCACCUUUUUAAGUGUCGCAAUAAGCCAUUUUUGUUAUGGGUUAUCCAUUUCUUUACCUUGCUUAAGGAAGGGGGUUGCCCAAAUCUGGCUUGCAUACAUACCAGCAGGAAUGGAAUAAGUCUUAAGUAACCAAAUGAGAGCAUGAAAUCGGUUGAUCAGACCGUGCUCCUGAGCAAAGCGUUGUAUUUUGAAAGUCCCAUUCACAAAAGGCUGUAAGGCUGCAUCUGUUGCUGUUGAAAGAUGAAAUUGCUUAUCAAUCACCAUCCCCAGAUAUUUGAAAUGGUCAGUGUAAGGUAUGGGUGACCCAUCAUAGAAAAAAGUCGGCAGAUUGUCAGACCUGGAAUUUACACACAUCACUUGGGAUUUGUGCGUAUUGACAACCAAAGAUUUCCUCAUGGCAUAGUCUUUCAAGUUGUUCAGAAGUUUUUGUAAACUUGGUUGCCUGUUUGCUGUAAAAGCCAGAUCAUCAGCAAAAAGUAAAUGUGUCACAGUUAAAUUUGGGAUGGCUGUCAGAGCACCUUGUACAACCUCUGCAACAGUAUCAAUAUCGUUGAGAUAAAUUGCGAAAAGAAGAGGUGAUAGAGGACAUCCUUGUUUAACCCCACACACUGGCUGAACACUAGCCAUUUUGUCACCAUCAAGCAGAGUAUAUUCAUCCAUGUGAUACAGAUCCUGGAGAAUAGCAAUGAGUUGUUGAGGUAGUCGACAACGAUAAAGAUGUUUCC